CUACAUCUGCCAGAGUACUACGAGCACUAGCUUAAAACUCAAAGGACUUGGCGGUGCCCCAAACCCACCCAGAGGAGCCUGUUCUAUAAUCGAUACCCCACGUUUUACCUCACCACCCUUCGUAAUCAGCCUAUAUACCACCGUCGCCAGCCAACUUCCUGAAAACCCCAUAGUUAGCUAAACUGUAAGUCACAAACACGUCAGGUCAAGGUGUAGCACACAGGGUGGAAAGAAAUGGGCUACAUUUUCUCUAAUAAGAAUCCACGAAUAAUGUAAUGAAAAAUAAUUUGAAGGCGGAUUUGGCAGUAAGAGGUGACCACUAUGCCCCUCUUAAUUUGGCUCUGAGGCGCGCACACACCGCC
rnacentral:rRNA from 1 species